rnacentral:lncRNA from 1 species
UGCAUUCUCUACUUACAGUUUAGUCUUUUAUAGCUUGUUCCUGUUCCUAUUGGCAAUGUACUUGAUUUUACUGAACAUGUAUAGUUGUUGGAUUACAGAAGUUGUAGCCUUGUAGUCGUUGGAUCUGAGUGUGUUGUUUGUUUGAAAAUUUCUCCUAUAAUAGGCUUCAAAGUAAAAGAAAGUAAUCCCUGAAACUUACUUCCAACUAUCAUUUCUAGUGAACUAUAUGAGGUACCAUCCGUGUAUGACAUGAAGUGAGAUUUGUGAAGUAGAUAAGAAUUAAAGUUGAGCAUGGAUAGCUAUGGCUGACCCAAUAGUGAAUCAUAAUGCAACUCUUACUGGCAUGAGCAUGCCAUCUUCAUCUCAUCAUCAUUUGCAUUCAUGCGGAAAUAUUUACCAUCUGCUUUGUUUCCAUUUUUUCAUACAGUGGCUGAAGAUUGUUGAUGCAGAUGGAUUUGUCGCUCCUUUCUAUUGAAGUUCCAACUUAUCAUCGUCAAGAUCAAAACUAAUGGGUUAUUUGUAUUGUCUCUUGUUUGGUUAAUGUUUUCUUAAAAAGACUGGUGUAAUGUUUAAGUGUCGAUGUCAUGGUGUUAUGCGCCAUCAGUUUGUUGAUCGUCGGCGGCAAGAUUAAAACUAACGGCUUGUUUGCCGGGCGUCUUAUUUAGUUCUAUGUUUGGUUAAUGCUUCCUUGGAAAUACUCAAGCAAUGUUCAACUGUUUUGUCAUGAUGCUAUGCGCACCUGUUUCUUGCUUGUUUAUUAAUUAGUUUUCCUUGGUCUGUUCUAUUGGCAUGUAUGAAAUAUAUGUAUACAUAAUUAUUAAAAUUGCUUGAAUAUUGAUCAAUUUCUUUUGGUAUAUCCGGUAUAUCCUAUUGGCAUGAAUGGCAGAUAUAUGCUGAUUGAAAUGGCCACAAAGAUGUUGUAUGUAUUGGAUCACAAUAGGUGCAAAUAUUAAAUGUCCAUGUCUUUAUUAGGGUCAGUCUUAGAGCCAACCUAAAAGCCAGCUUAUUGUGUGGGAAGGUUUUAUAGAUGAUGUGGCAGGGGCUUAUAGCCAGCAGCAGACUAUGCUAUUAACCAUGCUCUUAUGAGCCCCAUUUGAAGUGCAUCUCUUCCUGCAACGAUCAUCCUCCAUGUGGCUGAGGAUUAUUUAGGAACUGUAGCGAGUAAAAAUUCGGAGUCUGGAAAGUACCAGUCAUGUUUAUUGCAUUAAAAAAUGUUCAAAAUGUAUUUUGAAAAUGUUAACCUGUAUUCAAAACAUGUAUUUCAAAAAUAAAUACACAUCAUGCAUUUAAAAAAUAUCCAACAUGUAUAAAAUGUUUCACACGUGCGCUAAAAAUACUAGUAGAAUGCCCGUGCGUUGCCACAGACUCUUCAAAAUUUAUAAUCAGUAUGUUUCAUUUAUCAUCCCCUCAACCUGGAGUGCUCUAAUUAGAAACACAACAAUCAAGUAUUAGGAAAUUUCACCGAACCAACAAAAAUGAAUAAUAUGAUAUCUAUCCUACUAAUAAAGGGAGGUCAUAAUUUUGGUCCAUCAUGAACUUGUGCAGAAAAGCCCCUAUCUCUUUUAGUUACCCACUCUCCGCUCGCACGCGAAAAAAUACAUCUCUAAAGUGGGGAACCAGGCAAGGCCAACAAGAACUCAAACUCCUAUCCAAUCUCGACUUCGUGCUCUUCCACCUCCAUUGAUAAAGAUGGGUCAUCAAGGCUUUCCUCACGACGACCUCGAGCAGCCGCCGACAUCCCUCCCCGCAUCUAUCCCUACCCCUUGAUGCCACCUGCAUUGUCCUUGCUCCUCAGGGGAGGGUCACAAUGUCCUUUACAGUGGCUACGACCAAUCCACGAGGAGGCCACAUUCUUCCAUGGGAACCCAACAAAGCACACCAUCCUCCACAACCAUCUAAUCCCGGCCCUAACAACAUCGAGAUCCGCCAUUGAUCCAUGAGUCAGCCUCGCCGCAUCCAGGUUUAUUGCGAGCCUGCGACGUGUCUGUAGUCGAUGUAUUGACUUCGGUUAUCCCCACGGCAGCACCAUCGGAUCCUGCUUGCUUUUACCAUCACUUCGUCUCUCCCCAAGGAAGUGACACCACCCAACCAAUGACCACCACUGCAAAUUAUUAGUCAUAUUAAAGUGCAAAAGGCCCUGUAGGAGUCAAAUCAUGAGUUUUAUGGUUGUACUGUAAUUUGCAAGAUCUGAGAAUUCUGCAAGUGUACAAUUGGAAAAGAGCCAAUUCAAUUGAUUUUCACAUUCAGAAUAGUACGUUUGCAAUAGCACUUCAAUUUUUUCAUGUUUGUUCAGCUUGCUAGGGAGACGCGCGGAAGGCCCGCAUGGUGGACGAAAGAAGCAGCCGUGCUGCCCAUGGCGGGGUUGGGGUUGGGGGAAUGGUUGGAGGAGGAGGAAGAUGGAAGUGGGAGGCGAUCGAUUGUUGAUUGUUUGACAAAACCGGCGGGCGAAGGGUGGGAGUUGACAUAAAGAAACCGAGCAGUAGAUAGUGGUGGGAGGUGCGACAAAAAUAAACCGAACGAAAGUGGAAGACAAAAAAUAAACCGUGGAGGCGAGGCUACCAAGUCAGACAUUAGGAGUAUAGAUUACCUUAAUCAUAACUAGGACAACACCGAAUAUACGUCCUCCCCUUUAUAAAUAUAUCACUACAAAAAGUACCACAAGUAUGACUUUGAUCAGAACAAUACAGUUCUCCUUGCUGAAGGUUACCAUUGUCAACAAAAAAGGACAUAUGUUGCACAUCAGCAACCUGUAUAUCAACGAAGUAACGAUGCCACAGGAUGAUAAAUAAAGUAUGAGUGAAUUAGUUAAUAUAUUUUACCAAAUGUGUUGAGUACAACAUAUGUUUAGUUUCACCACAUCUCGUAUAGUAAUCUCAUCCAACAUUUUUGAAUGUUAACAUACAUAAAUAUAAGGUCAUAUCGUAAAUCCUAACAUACAUACAUGAAUGAUAGCAUUGUCGCUGUCUUAGGGGUAAUGAUCCUGCAGCGUUACCUAGUCUUGCCACAAUUUAUGUCUGUUCUUGAAGUGGGUAAUCUCAUAACCAUAGAAAUUCUUUUUUUGGGGGAAAGAUCGGGAUGGUGGGGCAUUUACACAUGUCAAGAGAAAAAUAAUCAAAUGCCCUAAGCACAUAAUCAUGCAAAAAGAUGAAACAUAGAACGUGCCUUGCACUGCAGAGACUUUUUUUACCUCUCAUAUGUGUGGACUCGUAGGUAAUACAUUAUCCCAUAUGCACCCUUUCUGCUGGAAACAUCAUGGUCGCCCCCACGCUCCUCAACACACUUGCCUUGCUCAUGCAUGUUGCUUUGUUUCGGCUUCACCCCUGGCAAUAUUAUUACUGAAUAAAAAACACUGACCUGCAGUAGAUAACCUUGAUUCUUCACUGUAGAGGAUAAUUUGGUGGUAUUAGCGAAGACAAGUACCCCAUAAUUUUGCAUGACAUAAUGCUGUGAGCAUUAAAAACAUCUAACAUAGUCAAACAAGAGAGUCAGUUAAUUCAGUAAACUCUUCUAUUUCGCUAAAUCAUCUAGCAUGUCAGAAGACCAAGAAGAAUGGCAUUUCCAGAAAGCUUUUCUGUUGUUUCCUUUCCUACUCAGCUGAUAAAUGUACAUCAACCUUUUUGUCCUAUGAAAUCUAUCAUGUAGCUUCUCCAAUUUUUUUAAAAGGACAAGAGGUAAAGAAUGGUUGUAACAAUGGAUACCACAAGCCUUCACCAAUAGAAGAAGUUCUUACUGAUCUUUCUUAUUCCCUUAAGGACCAUUAGCAGAAUCGUGCUACGGAUUGUGAGUUGCAACGGGGCAUACAUAUUCUAUUCGCUCAAUAUUAAUCGUGUCAAACAUAUACAUAUAGGAUCCUUAUGCACAUCAGAUAAUAUUACUAGUCGAUUUUAUUUUAUUUUGCAUGGAUCUUAUUGCUAAAAAUCACUUUUAUUAUUCCUCCUCGACCCACUAUCUACUUGUCACAAAUAUAAGUGUACAACCUUUGUCAAUGGUGUAGCUCACAACCCCCCUUCCACAUUGUGGUUGUCGUGGCAAGUCUUUAUCUCUAUUAACCGUAGGAAGAAAUUUCGUUGCUCAUCCUUGUUAGCAGACAAAUACUUACAAAAUCAAGAAGGCUGAUAAUGUGUGUGAAUUGGUUCUUCAUUUCAGAUCAAGAUCAAGCUCAAGACAUCAGAAAUCAGAUACAUUGUCUAUCUAUGAUUAAGCUCAUACCACAAACUAACAAGGAGCUAUACUAUGUCCCUUACCUCUAGCAAGUGUUGGUGGUGCCUGCCUUCAACCAAAUGGUCAAAAGGUCAUACCAACAACCUGAACAACGAGCUAUAUCAUGAUAUGAAAGAAACUAAUUGCUACUUCUACCCUCCUUACAAACAAUAAUAAUUGGUUGACUUGUGCAUCCAUAACUUGAUCAGUAUAACCAGUGUGUCCUGAAAUAAGCAAAGCAUUGCCGAAUCAAGUUAACUAAAUGGAAGAGCGACACCAGUGCAAAUAUCAGCCUGGUCCAAAUUUAAUUGAGAUGCAUAAAUGUAAGUAUAGAGUUCUCAAGUAUGUUUCCCAACUAACCUGCAAUUUGGUGCCAUCUUUACCAGUCUGCAGGAGAUCAGUAUUAAACAUGCAUUGGUAUCCAGUAUAUCUGGUAAUGAACUAACCUCACAUACUUUUAGGUUGUUAUACAUUAGAGGUCUAAGAAAAACCAUGGACAUGACAUACCUGAACCAUAAGCAUCAUUAGCCAGCUAUGCUUUGAAGAAAAUUCCCAAGAAAAGAAGGUCUAAAUAUAUUAUAGGCGGGUUAUGUACGCCAAAAUGCCGUCUUUUGUAGAGAAAUGAGAAAAUGAUGUCCGUUGUGGACUUGCAACAACAUCAUGUUCAUGCACUAUAGGACUGUAUAUAAUAUAUAGUUGUUUAUUUGGUCCUAAAAGGGAAACAACAACUAAGAGACUCUAUGCUUUGUCUCGAUGAGUAUAUUUACAUAGUCCUAUUAUUUUUUAAAGAGUAUAUAAAAGUAAAUGUUAUAAACUACUGAACAGAAAUCAGGGGAACGUGUAGUAGCAACCUGAUGAGAGACGACAUCUAGUUCAUGAACAUGUCAUUUCCUCUUACUAUCAGAAGGGUGCAUCGAAACCAUAAUUGCGUAGCUUUUAGUUUUUUGCCAAAAGUUCAGGAGAAUCAUUUAUCUUUUUUUUUUUGCGCCGAGCAUGGAGGGAAACCAUUUAUCUAGACGUUUGAAAGAUGCAGCACUAGGACUCUCACAACAGCCACUUCCAAUGGGACACACCAGCCUUGAGAAGGGUGGAGCCUUGCCAGUGGACACGUAUGUGGCAAGAUCAUUGUCCGGUUGCUACUGAAGACUUCAUUGACAAUAGUAUGGUACACUGCAAAGAAGGUCUACCGACAUUAAGCCAAUGGUGUCAAAAGGCCAAACCUGCAUUUACAGGGUGAGGCGCUGCAACAUUAGCUAGAGCCCAUAGUUAAUUUUGUAACUUAAGAAUGCAUCAGACAAAUGGCGCCUACAGACAAAUGAUUGUAAAUUCCGAAAUCCACUCGUGUGAAGGCUCCCUGCUCCCGCGACUCGCUCUCACCCCCGAAACCCUCGCCGCCGCCUCCUCCCCUGCCCGUCUCCGGCGGGAUCCGGCCGCCCUCGCCGGCGCGCGGCCUGGAUCCGACCCCUCCCCCGCCCUUCCUUCCCCGCCCCUCCUUCCGCCCUCGCGCCGCCUCCCCGGGAGGCGGCUGGGGCGGCCCCCGCACCUCUCCUCUCGGCUUCGCGUUCUCUUUCUCUCCUCUGCCGUCGCCGGCGGGCGCCCCCGGCUCUGGGCCGGGGGGUGACGGCGGCGGCAGGAUCUCCUCUCCCCGCACACGUGUCCUCCUGGCCCGGGCAGGGGGGCGGCGGCGGCACUACUAGGAAAAGGCUAAUUAAUGGCACACCUGUUUUGGCCAUUAAUGACACACUACAGGUGCGCCACUAUCAUCACGCCACUAGUAACUAAUAUUAAUGGCGCACCCCUGGUGCGCCAUUAGUAUACCAGACAAUAGUGGCGCACCAGGGAGUGCGCCAUUAGUAUGUCAAACGGUGCGCCAUUACUAUGCCUCCCAGGGGGCCAUAUUUACCUUGUGCUCUGGGUUACUAAUGGCGCACUUCUAAAUAAUGCGCCACUAGUGUGUUUAUUGCAGUGCGCCACUAAAGUGCAGUGUGGUGCGCCACUAGUAUGAAUAUUAGGAAUUUGUUUUCUGAUAUUUGGACAGGUUACAAAAUAUAUUACUGCACAGAAUAUAGACAGCACAACAUAUAAACAACAGAUUUAUCGAAUACAAUAGUAGAUUAGUCUCUGAAUACAAUUCAUCAUGUUAGUCUCCGAAUUCAAAAGACCGAACAAAGUUAGAACAUAUACAAGUCUCGAGACCGCAAGUAGCGAGUUUGUCUUCACAUUACAAGUCGACAUCGAUCAUCUAAACUACCAUCACAUAAAAGAGAGUUGCGGUCAUCACGAUUAGCAUCAUCGCGAUGAAACUGGUCUUCAUCCGGUUCCUCCUCCGCUCCCUCCUCUCUCCCGCUAGAUAGCGUGCGUAUCUAGCUUCCGCCUCUGCCCUAGUGGUGUACCCUUUGUAACUGUUACCGCUGAAAUGAUGAACCUGUCUCCGACACUCCUCCCAGUCGUCGUAGACUCUGGGAACCUUAACCUUGUACACGACAUACGACGACAUCUCUAUGCACUAGACAAACAAAACGUUAGUAGCAAUUCAUAGACAAUACAUAAGCAAUAUAUAAUUAUGCAACAAAAGGAUCGGAAAAGAAAAGCAAUACAUUAAUAGCACGAUUCGUGGUCCUACUAAUAAAUAGCACCGAUUACAUAUAAGUUGAACGACUGUCCAAACCAAAGAGACAUACAAGUUCAUUAAAGUUUAGUUACAACAUGAGCUAAUCGAUAUUUCAGAACAACAUAGCAUCACUACUUUCGACUCAACUCGGGGACCGAAAUGUGGAUGAAGCCGCCGUCUGUCGUGAUGGUCAUGAAAUCGCGGUCAUUGUCAGCCUGCAUUUGUAGCGUUGUUUCUAUCUCACUGUUGGACGGUUGAUAUCUGAGGUAGAACUGCCCCAAGGUACGAAGGACAUCUUGAUGGAUGAUUUCCGCAAACUCCGACUGGAUGCGAAAGAAUUCUUGUCUGAUGUCCGUGUCCUGGAUUGCCGACAAGCGUGCGGCCCAAUCUUUGAGAUUAUUUGGUAGCAUAAGGUGAUUAUGACCCCGUACGAUCGCUCGCAUGUGAUGAAGGGCGUAGUAGGCAUCCUUCUGGCCGCCAGGCGGCUGCUUGACGCAGGGAAACGUCGUAUUGUGGUUGAACACGUGCUUGCCGUAUCUACGAAUUGGCCUGCUGAAGGUGCCUCCAUAUCAGGCAUAGCCGGGGAGAACAUCAUCAAGAACUUUCUUGAUAUUUAUGUAGUCUUUCUUCGACUGAUGGUCCGAGUCGAAAUACGUGGCCGUGGAAUAUUUCGGGCUUAAGAGGAUGAGUGUGCAAUGUGUGUCACUGCACAAAACACAGAAUGUUAGAAGAAAAAAAGAACGAUCGAAAUCUAAGAAAUCAUAUGUUACGGGGCGGUGAGGGGAUGACUUACUCGGGAAAGUAAGGCACGAGGAAGUUAUCCUUAUCUGGGUUUGCCAGAAUGACGCCUUCGAGGUAUGAACUCGCGACUUGCCGGUCCCCAGCGCUGCCCAAGAUCUUGGCACGCAUGUAGAAGGGGUCGACUAUCACGAUGUCUGGGGUCUUGUCUCUAAUGAUCCGCAUCUCCAUACUCAGCAAAAAUAGCCGAACGAAGGUGUAGUGCAGCGGAUGAAGGUUAAACAUAGCGAAGAUGUCAUCAAACCGUAGGACGAUCAUACCUCCGAUGGCGCUAUCCACAAAGCCCUUGCCCUCUAGCACCUUGGCCACGAAAACCGGGUAUGCCACAUCAUUCUCUCAGAGACGCCGCUUCUCCAAAGAAAGAACACUGUCAUGCAGACUCCGCAUAGCACCGGUUGCAGCAUUGAGCAGAUUAGUUGGUAGCAUCGGCCUACCCGCCACAUGCACCCUCCUCGAGAUAUCCUUAGGUGAAGGUGGUCCGGCCUGAGUACGGAUCAUACUCGGUGCCGGCUGGCUUGCACCCUUGUUACUCUUUCUUUUCCAUCCCUUCUUCUUCUGCUGUAAUGGGAUCGAGUUCUGCUUAGAGACCGCCUUCUUGAGUGUGUUGGGGCUGAUAAUAUUUCGCACCUCGGCUAUCUGAGGCUCGGUGAAGGCGGCAGCUGGAGGCAUCUCCUGAGAACUGAACGCCAGACGACGCCUGUUGCAAUUAGGUUUCUCUGUGGUACCAGCUAGAUUGUCUUUUGCAGGGUUGGCUUCUUGAGAAGGAGGCCCCAAGAAUUCAUCACCGUACCCAUGUUCGUUGAAGUACUUAUCAACGUUGGUAAAUGUACCAUCAUCGUCGUCCGGAUCCUGUGCCAUAUGCAUGUCCGGAUCCUGUGCCAUAUGCAUGUCUGGCAUGUCCGGUAGCGUUGCGGCGGUCUUGCCAUGGCUUGGCGCCGGCACGACUGGCGGUGUUUUCUAUGGAGUGGUGUCCCCCGCCCCAAACGAAUCUGGCGCUUCGGCCAAAGCAGGGGCCAGCUUAAGCAGGCGCUGAGGGUCAUCACAUCAUCUUCGUCGGCCCCAGGGGGUGGAAACGGAGGUAACAAGUCGUCGCAGCCCCGCAGCACCCGAACCAGUUGAACCCUAUACACGUUGGGUGGCAUCGGAUUACCGUGGAACAGGCGGUUGCCCGGUUGAACGAUUUUGGCCUUAGCAACAUCAAUCAACUCGCCAUCCAUGAAGUAUAGGAGAGUUCAUGGAACAUCAGCGGUGCCCUGCGAAGACAUGUAGGGCGUCAGGGAUGCCCAAUCAAAGACAAGGAGAUGAAGUCAUCGGCCGAGAGGCUUAAUUAGUUACCGUGAUGGCGUCGAGCUUGGCUAAUGUCGUGGCACCGCCAAUGGCGGGCGUGCAAUUGACGGAGGGGCCGCUUGCUGCUGAGGUGCCGGCCGGCGUAUUCUUCCCACACCCGGGUGCAUUAAGCUGCAAUGUCGGCAUCGCCGCAGGAGACACCAAUGCCGCCUCCGCCGGAGACACCAAUGGCGCCGCUGGCGCAUUGCACGAGUUGCUGCCCAUGAAGCUGGGAAUCGGGGGCGGCCCCUGCUGGCCGCCCGCAAUCCACGCCUGCAGCCCAGAAACCAAGGUAGGUAUAAUGGCGGUGAUCGUCGCUCCCAGUUGGUCUCGCACGUGCUCUUCGACCAUCUCCGGAAUCCGCGCCACUUGUGCCUUGAGUUGUUGAACCUCGCGCUCCUGGCUUUCCGAGCUGGCUGUCUUUCUCUCCUUUCGCCCAGCGGUAUAGUAUUCUGACCAUUUCGUGGACAAGCCUUUGCCGGCCACACGACCAGCUGAUGACGGCUUACUGAGCUGAUCCUUGUUUUUCAUUACAUUCAACGCCCUAUUUAAAGGGGUGUCGAAAGGGGAGCUCUGAGACGACCCCGUGCUACUGCUUUCAGUUUCCUACGGAAGGAACGUGAACCAUUUAGAAAUUUGGAUUCAUUAAUUAAAAUGCAACCAUAUGGAGCUAAUUACGUGGGGGUGUAUUCCUUGACAGAACACGCUCAAGCGCCUUGGUCUUCGGAUCCGUGGUAAGCUCCUUGGUUACCGGGUCAAUUUUGUACCAGGCCCUGACAUAGUUCCUGGUCUGCUUGUCACUGUAUUUAUCGAAGCGGAGCGGUAGGCCUUGCUCGGCACGCUCCGCGUCCUCCUUUUCCCAUAUAGGUUCCGCCACUCUGUAACCGUCGGGACCGAGUGUGUGUUGUCCUAAGUUCAAGUCCCGCAUAUCUUUCCCCCACUGACUUUAUUCCUCGGAUGUGUUGCUCUCGCACUUGAUCUUGAACUCCAGGUAGUCAGCUUCGCUGAUCGAAGGAUUUUUCUCCUUGAUCUUUCUCAUAACUAUCACCUUUUUCAAUCAUUCUCUUCACCGCGCCUCUCCAAGUAGCCAGGGCCGUGCUCAUCUUCGUGAGGGCGACACUGUUCACUUUAUUCCCUGAGAGGCAUGUGUUUGCAAAGUCACCUGGGAACUUGUAUCAUUCGUGCAACUUCGUGAAGAGGAGGUUGCGCAAAUUCCCUCGGUCACGAUGCCUUAGGUUCUCGGUGUUGAUCGAGACGGUGCUCCGGAGAAUGCACCUGAGCUGUCCCGCGUACCCCUUGACUAAUUCUUUGGGUGCCGUUGGAUGCCCCUCGGAGGACACUUCAGUAAAUUCCUCCUUGACGGUGCCAAGCACAUUCGGGCGCUGGUCCUUCCGUUGUCUCUUCGGUUGGCUGCCAUCUGUGUGUGCGCUGCCAUCAUCAGUGGUGGCAUCCUCGAUGGCACCAUCAGUGGUGCCAUCUCCGACGCCACUAGGGGUUGUGUAGUCAGGAUCGGUGUCUUCCGCAGCGUCCUCAUAGCGGUGAGGUUCUUCCUCCAUCUCCUGGGACAGCUCCCAGAAUGCCUUGCCCGAACCGCCGGCCUCAUUGUUGUGGGCCAUGUUUCGCUCUAAAUAGGAAAAAAGUUUGGUCAAAAAGUUGGUUAUUGUCAAGGAACAAGAUCUCUAAAUUGACCAAAUAACCUAAUUCUCAAGGAAUGUCGCCAAAAAGUUGGUUAUUGUCAAGGAACAAUUGAGAGAUGUUUGUGAUAUUGCCUAGGUGUUUUGGGAUGGAACCUGUUAGUGUGUUGUUGCUAAGGUCCAAGUCCCUUCCUAACCCCCUUCUUCUUGUCUCCUCAUUUAGGGUUUGUCGACACCGAGGCAUCCUAAAAGCUAAGCUUUUAUCAUUUAGGGUUUGUCGAGGCCGAGGCACCCUAAAAGCCUAAGCUUUCAUCAUUUAGGUUUUUAUCGACACCGAGGCACCCUAAAAGCCAAGGUUUUAUCAUUUAGGGUUUGUCGAUGCUGAGGCACCCUAAAUGUUAAGUUAAGUUUUCAUCAUUUAGGGUUUAUCGAUGCCGAGGCACCCUAGGUUGACUGAUAUAUAUUGGUAUCUUCUAAUAAUAUACCCUAUCGAGAAAAGGGAAGGAGAAUUCUAAUACACCAAGAGACAGUAAACAUAUCACACUUCUAUAUGUAUAACACAAGAGGCAGUUGAUCCUACUUAAUUAAGUACUAAGAUACCCCGGCCCUUGCAUUAGUCGCAAGUACCCCAUAUGUCCCAUUUUUAGCGAAGUCAUGCUAAAAUUCACGCAAAAUUUCAGCAUGACCUUUGCUUAAAAUAUGACAUAUGGAGUACCUGAAUUUGCCGGAACAGAAGUUAAUCGACAUUCCAGCAAACUCAAGGGCCUCUCGGGGUACCUGCAAAAUCAUCACGACACGAUGGUCGGAGACAAAACCCAGCAAACUAGCAAAGUUGCUGACGUGUUUGCAGAAAUUGUUUUCUGUAAAAGAUGAUCAUCAUCUUUACAAGUCUUUCUCAAUGUGAUCAAUUGAUGGAUCAACACGUAAAACAUGUCCAAUAAGUAUGAUUUAUAGAGUCAGCAUCAGUAUGAAUAUAUAUAAUGUUUUUCAAAACAGUGAAAUAUAUAACAUGAUAAUACUAUCCAGUUUAAGAUUUAGUAGAUGCCAUAAUCACUGCAUACCAAAAGAAUGGCAUCGGUCAAUAAAUGCAGGUUGCAACAAAGAUAAACUAGUUAGACCAGCCAUUGUUCCCCCAUAAUAUUUUCAAAAUAUUGACAACUAAUCAAAUAACAAGGAAAGAGAGGCCACUCCAGCAAUCUUAUCCUUGCUUUGUGUCACUUUUCUGCCUAAAUAAAAGAUAAAAGCGUUCAUGGGGUUAUUUUCUUUCUUUUAUUGGUUGGGCAUCAGUGCAUCACCUUCAGGCUAGCUCACAUUAUCUUGUCUAGAAUUCAAGAGACCAAAUUUUUUGAUUAUAAUAAAACUUUUUAGAACAAAACUAAUGUCAUUCUAAUAGAACAUAUUCCCAGUCAUAUACUUGGAUGGCCUCAUCAAGCUUAUAAUUCUUGUGAACCUAAAUCUCAUAAUAUAAAUUAUCAUUAGCCCCAUGCAACCUCUUUAGUUGACAACUGAAAUCUACAUGAGUGUGUGCACUACAGGAAGGGAACUUGACCAUAGUUCUCUGCAGCACAGUGGUAAUAAUCGGCACAAUGCAACGAUAUAUAUUCAGAGAAAUGAAACAAGUAGCAUAAUAAGCACCAAGAACUGAACUUCAAGCAGUAAAUCAGAUCACACGCGCAGGCAGAGAGAGGGGGAGAAGAGAGGAGUGGUUGUGCAGACCGAAGAUCUCCCUGAGAUGGCCCUCAGUGACAUUGCGGGAGAGGCGGCUGACAAGGAGGACGAGGGACGACUCGUCUGGGACCGGAGCAGGGGAGGGCUUCCUCGCGGUCGGAGAAUGAGGAGGCGAGGGUUUCUUGGGCGGCGGCGAAGGCGAGGUCAAGCGGCCUCCCUUGGCCCCCUCUCACGGCGGCGGCGGUGAGCGGCCCCUCUGCGUGGUGGACGAUCUAUGAGGAAACAGAGCAAACAAUGAGAGAUGGGGCGAAGGGGGGGAGGCGAAGGGGUCAGGUCCGGCGGCAGGGCUGGGUCACCUGCGGCGGUCGGAGGAGGCCCUCGCUCGGUCGAUUCCGUUCGGGGGAACCGAGCGAGGAGAUAGGGGAGGGUGCGGGGGGUCAUCGGCAUCGGUGGAGCGGGGGAGGGUGCGGGGGGUCAUCGGCGGUGACGGGGAUCUGGCAAGGGGGAUCGAGAUGGAGGGGGUUCUGGCGCGGGGGCAAGGGGGAAAGGGAUAGAGGGGGAAGGUUAGCAAUGGCACACCUCCCAGGGGUGCGCCAUAAGUACAUCCAUAGCAAUGGCGCACCACCGAGGGGUGCGCCAUUAGUAACUUUUUUUUGCGUCUAAUAAUUUUUUAGAAAAUGACGAUCAAAUUUGAAAAUAUUUAUGAAUGUGAAAAGAUAUCAGCAAAUUUAUUAUUUGAAAAUAUUUAUGAAUAUGAAAAAAUAUCAUCAAAUUUGUUAUUUGAAAAUAUCAUCAAAUUUGUUAUAUGAAAAUAUUUAAAAAAUAUCAUAAAAAUUGGUAUACCAAUGGCGCACCUCCUAGGGGUGCGCCAUAAGUACAUUGAUAGCAAUGGCGCACCUUUUCCUGGUGCGCCAUUAGUAGCUUUUUUUAUUGUUUUUAGUUGCAUCUAAUAAUUUUUUAGAAAAUGACAAUCAAAUUUGAAAACAUUUAUGAAUGUGAAAAAAUAUCAUCAAAUUUGUUAUUUCAAAAAUUUUAUGAAUAUGAAAAAAUAUCAUCAAAUUUGUUAUUUAAAAAUAUCAUCAAUAUUUUUUUUGGAUUAUUAGUUGCAUUCAUUUGUGAAUUGGUAAAACAUUUUUGAAUAUGAAAAAAUAUCAUCAAUUUUGAAAAAAUAUUCAUGAAUUCAAAAAGUGCCCAUGAAAUUUAAAAAUAUUCAUGAGUUCAAAAAAUAUUAACAAAUUCAAUACUUUUUGUGAGAUAGAAAUUCAAUACCAUAAUAAACAUAAAUAAAUAUUCAUGAGGACUAGAACAGAAGAAAUAUCAUUUCAAUAUGUCGAAAUACAAUAGAGAAAUGAAGACUACGAUUUAAAUACAAUCGAUCUUAGCUAGCUAUCUUUUCACAAUCUUCUUGCCCUUCUUUUUCGCAAAUGGAGUUCUUCUCUUGAACGGGCGUCCUUUAGGUAGGGUGGUCCUGCUUCUUCUUGUGGUGUAUGGCACUUCCUCGUCGUCGUCAUGUUCCAUCUUCGGGUCGCCAUACUUGUCGAAGUCUUGCUCAUUGGCGACUCCAUCUAAAUCGAUGAUCUUCCUUUUGCCUCUCCUCGCGACAACACGACUAGGCUUUGACGGGUCGGUAAUGAAGAAGCAUUGAUCCACUUGGGAAGCCAGUACCCAUGGCUCAUUUUUCUCGGUGACGUUUGCGCCCGCGGUCUUGGAUUUGGCUUCGGGUAUAACCAUGGUGGUGAAAUAAUGGUCUUCUUUUAGGACGCUCUUGGCCCAUCUGGCACAGAACAUCGGGACCUUAUUUCCAGCGUAGCUCAGCUCCCAGAUCUCCUCGAUCCUUCCGUAGUAUCUGUCGUUCUCGUUAUCGGUGUAGGAUUCCAUCGUUACCCCGGAGUUCUGAUAACCAUCGCUCUUCAUGUCCUUGUCCUCGGUGUAGAAUGUGUAGUCGUUGAUAUCGUACGCCUCAUAGGUCAUCAGGUUGUGCUCGGCGCCCUGUGACAAGGCGAAUAUGAGUUUUUCUUCCGCAGAAGAAUCCUCAUGUCCAGGGUACGACAGAAGCUUCUCCUUGAACCAACGCGUGAAACAUGAGUUGUGCUCUUUGAUUAUAUCUCCGUCCGUCCUCUGUUGGCCUCAGUCAUUGUACGUCUUCUCAAUAAAGGUUUUGUGCUCUACCACCCAAGGAUCGACCACGUCUAUGUGUUGUAGCGUGACUAGGUUUGCUCUUUCAAAGUCGGCGAGUCGACCCUCAAAGUCGACAUGCAUUUCGUGGCGACCCUCGCAGUGACCCCAUCCAGCGAGCCUGCCGAGGUGCCUGUUGACGGGCAGACCAACAGGGUUCUCGAUCACUACAAGAAAUAUGUCAACUAGUGACCUUCUGUCAGUGACUCUAGAAGAAUUGGUCAUAGAUUUAUGACCAUUUGAGACCAAUUGGUCAAAAGCUGUUCGGGGGGAUCCAAACCCUAAACCAUUGCGACCAUUUUGGUCAGAAAGGUCGUAAUUUCCUUACAGGAAAUGUUCAUAAAGCAAAUAGUGCUGGUCCGCUGCCUUAUUUAUAGUUGUUAACGACCAAUAUAGAUGGUCAUAGCCUUGUAGAUUGUGGUGGGUUGUGAUGACUAGGCGCCAUCUCAUCAGUUUUGCCUAUGUGUCAUGUCCAUAUGUCAAUUUUUGCCCUAGGUUGUGAAGCAACCUAUAUUUCUGUUAUUCCAAAAAUUUCUAAAAAAUUCUCAUAAAUUGUUUGGAUCAUAUCUUCAUCAAAUAUGUCAAAAACCUUCCUUGCCUAGUUCAAAAAUAACUCAACAAUAUUCAUUUUCCUAUUCUGUUUAGAGCAGCACUUUGUGAAGGAAGUACCACUUUGGCAUGUCCAAAUGGUAUCCAUUUUCUACAGUGCUUUCCUAUGCCCAAAUAACCAUCCUCCACCAAAUGCCAGCUCAAUCCAUUCAUUAUUUUGAGCCCAGCUUCAACAUUCGUAUUUAUGUCCAGUGUUGUACUUUGCAAAGCAAGUACCACCUAGGCUCCUCCUCUUGAGCUGAAACUUUGUGAAGACGGUCUUCUUAGUAACUGGUCAUCCUCAUCCAAAACUUACGCCCAUUAGCCAUGUGCAUUUCACGUACCGCUAAUCAAAUACUUGGCUGCUUAUUCAUGUUUCAGCAUCGAUCGGUCUCCUCGUGAGAAUCUUGUUGUGAUUUUAUUCCUAGAACCUACCUGGGGAGUGCCCAACCCGCUAGACAUGCCUAGGCCGCCCAGAACACAAGGCAACGGCACGGUCACGCGGUGACCACGCGGCGGGCAUGCGAGUUUAUGCGCUCUAGAGUUGGGGCCCUCGGCCACCGUCCAAACCUUGACGUAUCGCCACCAAACCAUGUAUUUAUGAUUAAAUAGGUACUUAUGUAUUUAUAAAUGAUUUUUGGAAAAAAUAAAUAGCAAACUAUGAGGCAGCUGCAGUUCAAAUUUGACCUGCUUCCUACUGAAUCGACGGGAAUUUGUCUUUUUCACUAGAGGUGGAUCAAAACUUUUGACACCCAACCAUUUUCUCAAUUAUGCAUUAAAUAUGUCCUAGUGUUUUAUAAAAUUGAUUAGGUCCAAUUUUGCAACAAAUAUAUGGUAGGUCCUUCACAAAAAAAACUCAUUUCGGGCACUCGAAAAAUGGAAAAUGUAUUUUUCGUGCAAAGAAAAUGAAAACUCCCUUAGGCAACAUUGUUUGGAAUUCCAAGAUGCACACUUGUGCACGAUAUGAGAUCAUUUGAACAAACUAUGCCAUGAAUGUGGCCAUAAGAUUGAUCAUUUGGCUUGAAAGCCAUGAAUCUUCACGCAUGAUAGCUAAUUUCUAAGAACACUUUUUAAAAAUAAUUUCCGUAUUACAAGUUUAUUAUUUUUCCUGGAAACUUGGUCACGUAUAAUGACACAAUGCGAAGGUUUUCCAAUUUUUUGAUUUUUUUUUAAUUUUUUAUGCCCGUUUCAAAAUGCGGUCAAAACGGCGGGCUUGACCGUCCCUAGCUAGUGGUUGAAUCUUGGAAUUUUUUUGGUGUUUCUCUGAUUAAAUAGAUAUUUUUGUACCUAGAAAUGAUUUUUGGAAAAAAUAAAUACCAAACUAUGAGGCAGCCGUAGUUCAACUUUGACCCGCUUCCUACUGAAUCGGCGGGAAUUUGUCUUUUUCACCACAGGUGGAUCAAAACUUUUGACACCCAACCAUUUUGUCAAUUGUGCAUUAAAUGUGGCCUAGUAUUUUAUAAAAUUGAUUAGGUCCAAUUAUGCAAGAAUUAUUUGGUAGGUCCUUCACAAAAAAACCUCACUUGGGGCACUUGGAAAAUGGAAAAUGGCUCUUUUGUGCAAUGAAAGUGAAAACUCCCUUAGGCAACAUUGUUUGGAAUUCCAAGAUGCACCCUUGUGCACAAUAUGAGAUCAUUUGAACAAACUAUGCGAUGAAUGUGGCCAUAAGAUUGAUCAUUUGGCUUGAAAGCCAUGAAUCUUCACGCAUGACAACUCAUUUCUGAGAACACAUUUUUAAAAUAAUUACCGUAUUACAAGUUUAUUAUUUUUCCUGGAAACUUGGUCACAUAUAAUGACACAAUGUGAAGGUUUUCCAAUUUUUUGAUUUUUUUGAUUUUUUUAUGCCCACUUCAAAAUGCGGUCAAAACGGCGGGCUUGACCGUUCCUAGCUAGUCGUUGAAUCUUGGAAAACUUUUGAUGUUUCUAUGAUUAAAUAGAUACUUAUGUACCUAGAAAUGAUUUUUGGAAAAAUAAAGAGCAAACUAGAAGGCAGCUACAGUUCAAAUUUGACCCGCUUCCAGCUGAAUCGGCGGAAAUUUGUCUUUUUCACGAGAAGUGGAUCAAAAGUUUUUACACCCAGCCAUUUGGUCAAUUGUGCAUUAAAUAUGGCCUAGUAUUUUAGAAAAAUGAUUUGGUCCAAUUUUGCAACAAUUAUUUGGUAGGUUCUUCACAUAAAAACCUCCUUUUGGGCACUCAAAAAAAUGGAAAAUGGUUUUUUCGUCCAAAGAAAAUGAAAUCUUCCUUAGGCAAUAUUGUUUGCCGUUCCAAUAUGCACCCUUGUGCACAAUAUGAGAUCAUUUGAACAAACUAUGCCAUGAAUGUGGCCAUAAGAUUGAUCAUUUCACAAAAAACCAUUCCAAUAUGGUAGGUCCUUCACAAACAAUAUGCACCCUUGUGUACAAUUUUGCAACAAAUAUAUGGUAGGUCCUUCACAAAAAAAGUCAUUUUGGGCACUCGGAAAAUGAUUUAAAAUAGGUAGAAAGAUCAAAAAUGCAUAUAAAUUGGUCCUUAUCCAUAAAAUGUGGUCUAACUCUAGUGAAAAUUUGUGUGGUGCCAUUUUGCAAAAUAUUUUUGAUAGCUACUUCACAAAAUCCCUCUAUUUUUAGUACUUAGACACUUUUCUAAAUCACUGGUUUUUCGAACCAAUCAGAACUCUUCCCAUGGAUCGAUGACAUGGCGCCCAUCCAUCCAUCCACCCAUCUCUCCAUCCCACAUCCAUCCAUCCAUCUAUCUACAGAAAAAAGAAAAUAAAAUGAAAAAGAGAUACCCCCCACCCGCAGCCCAAACCCUAGGUCAGAUCCCAUCGACUCCCCCCAUCGCACCCCUCCUCUCCUCGCAGCCGCCGCCACCUCCUCCCUCGAUCCAGUCCUCUCCCCGGCCUCCUUUCCCCGAUCCAAUCCUCUCCCUGCCACUCCCACCCACCACUGACCUCGCAGCCCUCCUCACCACCGCCGCCGACCUCGUCCCUCCCUUCCCUCACCAUCUCUCCCUAUCCUAUGCCCCAGAUCGAGUCGAGCAGGUCGGCCGACGCGCUAGGGUUCCGUCCCUCCGCCCUUGCCGUCGCCGCGAUCACCCUGGCGCUCCCUGCUUCCCCCACCCGACCCCCAACACACUGGUGCUCUCCCCCCGCCCGCGGCCAUGGCGGAGAAGCUGAGGGUUUAGGGUUCCGGCGAGAUGUCAAUGGCGAAGCCCCUCCCCCGUGGCCAAUCGCGGCGCCCCCGCCCCCCUCCCCCACACAGGCGAGGCGGAUUAGCGGCCUUGGCCACACCAAUCUGGCGGACAUAGCCUCGAUCUGGAGGGAGGGAUUUGGCAGCCAUGGUGAUGGGGGUCGCCUCCCUCCUCCCUCCCCUCGUCGGAGCUCACCGGCGGGGCCCUGGGCUGGCGCGGUUCCCGCGAACAGAAGCCCGUCGCAGCAUCACAUAGCAGCAAGCCUAUCGCCCCAGACCGACGCACGCACGUGCAUCCUGCCGCGACCACCUCCGCGACUAGUUCAAAGUUCUCGCACGUGUUGGCUGGACGGCGGCGACACUGACCUCCUCCGCCGGGUCUCCCAAGAGGCCGUGCAUCCUACCGUGACCACCACUACUGCGCGACGGUGGUGGCCGACCUGCAAUGCGACCGCUGCAUCGCCAGUAACCUCUUCGGUGAGCACUUUACCUCUGCCUCCCUCCUCUGCCUAGAUCCCGUGACUGAGCCACACUCUGUAGCAUGUAUAUUACUGCUUGUAUGGCCAUGAGGAAUGAAAUAAUUUUACAGCUAAGAAUUCUAGUUUCCUCUUGGAGGAGUUGCUGCACCACUAGUUGUUUCUAUUGUGUGCUGGACAGUAGAUGUGACACUCCAAAAUUUUAAUUUGGUUUUCAUCAAAAACUUUGUUGGAUUUUUAAAAGAGGGCAUUUAAAAUUUCUUUUCGAGAAAUCCUUCCUCUUAAAAACUUCCUUUCCUUUGGCAAGGAUUUUCUUUUCCCUUUCAAAUUUGGUGUUGAAUUUUUGGAAGCUUUUCCUUCUGGUUGUUACCCUCUCAAACUUAUUUAUUUUCAUUUAAAAAAAAGAAACCCUAGGAGUUUUGGGACUUCUUUCUUUUUGAAACCACCCAUGGUUUUACCAUGUCUCCUAUAGUAAAUCUUCUCAAAACCCCUCCCUCCACCUUUGAGCAAUUUAAAUCCUCUGUCUCAACAAGUCCAAACAAGUUUUGGAUUUUAUUUCAAUUAUUUUAUCUCCCAAAACAUUUCUGCCAAUUAUUUUGAGCCUAAGUGAUUUUCAAAGCAAGUACCACUUUGCCUUUGAGUUUUUAUCCCAAACCAACUUCCCUGGAUUGUCUUUAGUACCCACAACCUAGAACCAUCUUGAUCCACUCUUCUUCUUUUCAAAUAUUUCAAAUUUCACUCACUGCAAGUUUGGACCAGAUUUGCCAAAUUUGAUGAAAUUCAUAUCCACACUUCUCCAAAAAUUCCACCAAAAAUCAUGCAGCCUACUGGAGCAAUGAGUAGCUACUCCACCAAAUUUCAGCUCAAGGAAAAAUCCCUAGAUGCCAAAAGCAUUCUGUCGAACACCUGAGCUGCACUGUUCUUUGCAUUUUCAGUAAAGUUCAGUAAAAUUCAGUUUUACAGUGUCGUUUUCUUCAGAGUUCAGUCACAAGCUCACAGUGCGCUUGGCUCGAUGCUCGCAGCCCCUCCCUCUUGUCCGGAGCUUCACACCCGUGCGUGGACCGUUCCUGGCGUCGGUGGCGCGCUGGCCCGCCCUCGCCGGCGUCUUCUGCGGUGUCGGGACCUCCCGUGGCGGCCGACAGAAGGCACACCACGGCAGAACACCGUUCAGCGCCGCCCAAAGCCCCCUGGCUCUCCGCGCGGCCUCAUGCAUGCCAGCGCACGCCCGUGGCACCAUCACCGUGGCCCGGCAAGCACGGAACGUGCUCCCUGCCGCCGACGGGCCGCGCCACCCCCGUUCCGUCGAGCUCGACCCAAACACCCAAACCCCGGCCAGUUUAGCACCUAAACGGACCCAUUGAACCCCCACGACGGCGCUCGACCCCUAAUCUUCCCCGACCAAUGCCCUGCGUCGCCGUAAGCUUCGCCGGAGAACCCCGUUCUCGGCCACCGCCUCGAAUCGCCUAUAAAAAGGAACCCGAUCUCGCCCUCAAGCACGCACCUUCACUGCACCUCCCUAGGACCCUGCCAAGCCACCAGGAGGACCUCGAGGAGGUCUCCUUCCCCAACUUCGGCCGCCUUGCUCCGCCUCGGCCUCUAGCUUGAUUCACUCCGGUGAGGCCAUCUCCGGCGCCCAAACCUCGUUCGUAGCCCUCUCUCACACCCAGUACUCUAACCCCCUCAUCAAUUUGGCCUUUGCAGUCCUCUCCGACGAGCUCCAUCCACGCCCGAACCACCGUCUGCCGGAGUUUAGACCGCCGUCGACGUGGUGCUCCCCGGCGACCAACACCACCACCCACCGUUGCGGAAGGACACCGUGAGCAUGUUGGUAACCUCCGAUCCCCUUACCUCGUCGUGGAUCGCCGCCGGCGACCACCGCAGCCCUCGGGCGCCGACGAGCCUCGUCCCUCCCAUUUGAAAGUUUAAACAUGACAAGUGGGACCCGCUAUCAGCCUCUCUGUCCUUUCUAAACGAAGCGUUUUCUGAAAACGCCUUCUGCCAAAUGUGCUUUCCCUUUGGGCUGGCGUAGUUUCUGCCGAAGCGUUUUCUCUUUUUAUAAACUAGCCCCUGGAAACUUUCUGUUUCAUUACAGAUGAGUCCCUAGAUUAAAACCCUUAUAACUUUUUAACAGAAAGGAAUUUUUGAGUGAUUCUUUUUGUGUCCUCUUCAGAAUUUUGUCUAGUUUUUUAUCAUAUUUAUUUGGAAAAUAUUUGGUAUAACUUUCUGUGCACCUCUUGGUAUUUACGAUAGCGCAUGUAUUUCUUUAUACCGUAGAUACCGAAGGAUGUGAGUAUGCAUGGCCAUGUGUUGGCAUGAGGAUGGGUAAGAUGGCAGUGUUGUAGCAUGCCAGGCUUAUGCCAGACUACGUGACUUCAAUGUCAACUCGUAUCAUUCCAGUUCUUUCCAUUCUUCCUUCCCUGUACUACCACAAGUUUUCCGCAAGGGAUAUGGCUUAGUAAGUUGUAAACCGCUUCCCUGGUACACACCAAAAAGGAGAGGCCGUGAUGAUGGUUCCAUCGCCCUGGAUUAAAGCCAGUCAUCCGGUCAGGGGGCAUGGGUGUUUCCGGUUGGGACUAAGAGGGGGGCACCCCUUAGAGCGCGCGUAUAUAAAUUUGAUCCCAUGCUAUUCGAGAUUGUGAUCUCCCCGUCUCAAAAGUUUUUCUUGGACGAUGUCUAGGGUGAGUCCUGGCAUCGAGAGGUAGGAUGGGUGUGUACUGGUUAGCUGUGUUUUCUUCCGAAAAACCGUAAACGGAACUAGUCCCUCGUGACUACGGAAAUCCGUUGGCUGUGGGAAUUUUUUUUGUACAAACUCUGCAGAGUCAUACAAUUCCUUUGAAUCAUCUAUUCCAUGUCCCGAUUCGUACUAUCUUGUCCUAACAGUGUCAGUUUGAUGGUAGAGACUCCGGUGAAUCCCAUGAGUGCUAAGUCCGGUUAAAUGUUAUUCCUGUGGGUGGACUAACCUAUUUAUUAUCAUGAAUUGAAUAUUUAUUAUGAGUAUUAUUUACUUGUGAAUAAAGCCCUUUCUGUGAUGUCGCCCCGACGUCUGACUGUGGCAUUUCUUUUAAAGCCCUUUCUGUGAUGUCGCCCCGACGUCCGACUGUGGCAUUUCUUUUAAAGCCCUUUCUGUGAUGUCGCCCCGACGUCCGACUGUGGCAUUUCUUUUAAAGCCCUUUCUAUGAUGUCGCCCCGACGUCCGAUUGUGGCAUUUCUUUUAAAGCCCUUUAUGUGGUGUCGCUUAGACGCCCAACUGUGGCAUGAUUUUCUCCUUUAUUUAUUUGUUCACCUUUCGAGGCGUCGCUUCAGACACCCGAUCGGUUUCCAUUUAUAUUUCUGUCGGGAUUUCAGGUGGACUACCGCCGAUUCCCUCUUUGCUUACCUUGCCUGCUAAUACUUUAAAUGUACAUUGGUAAAUUAAUCAUGAUGCAUUCAUGCAUGCAUUUGUUAUAUCUUACGUCCGAACUGUCUUGCGAGUACUUUCAAAGUACUCACUGGCUUGUUGAUUUGGCCAGAUGCUGACGAAGGCGAUCUCAUGGGUGAAGAGUUCGAUAGCGAGUCCGACGCCUAGAGGAAUCCCAGUCAGUCUCGUGCGACCCUGGAUUUGGUCACUGUAUUAUAUCCGCUUCCGCAACCCGAAUAAAUUUAUCGAGCCUCACCUCGACGCUCGAUGAGAUGCCAGUUUGAGAGUCGUGUUAUCACACUCCCCACUAUGUUAUUCCACCAUCACUUUAUCCUCGAGUCAGUAGUAUGCCACCACACCAUUGUGUUAUAUCCGCCAUUAUGUAUAAUUAUUGGCGUGCUUGUAAUAAUUUGUUGAGCAGCCCUAGCUCAACCCUGUAAUAUAUCCUAUGCUACUGGCUUAUUGUAUCAAGAAUUUGUCUACCAGUGAGGAGGAUUUCUCUCAUACUGGACUCAAAAGAUUGGUUUCUCAAUAAAUAUUUUUAUUGGAAAACCGGUCGUGACAAGCUUGGUACCAGAGCCAGGCUGACUGUAGGAAGCCACUAGGUGCGAUCGCUAAUUGGUUAUUAGCAUGAUAGAGCUAAUUUAUAUUUUUGCAAUUGUAGUCAUUUUCUGACUGUUAGCAUAAAUUUAUGAUCUGACCAUUCAGAAUUUGCUUACCUUUGUAGAUGGCCGACAACAGCUGCGAGUCUCAGACCUUCGCCAACAUGCCCGAUGGGUUCGUCAAGCUUCUCUCCUUCAUCGUUCAGGUCGCGAUGGGGCCGUCUGUGCGCCCAGUCUUCACACUCUUCCAGCACAAGGUCAAUGACAGUCUGACCAUGCACUAGGCCACGGUGCAGUUCAGGGGAGUGCGUGGUGAGUUACGCCGCUUCCGGUUCGUGGGAAGAGCCAUGCCUACGGAGAGGCAUGCUAUGCAGAUGGCAGCCCGUGAGGCGAUAGCUCGCCUCAGGGAUGUCCUUCCCGCGAUGAAGACUCGUCGCUACCGCUAUCUUCCGUGCCAUGUGCCUUACACCUGUCACUACAGCUGAGUGCGCUUGCCCGUCAUGCGAUGUACCGCUUUGUAAGAUAUGUACAUAGGUUGUGAGGAGUAGCCUGUUUGCGCAUCAUGUAGGAACUGGAGAAGUGCACUAGCCUAAAUAACAUGUCAGGAUUAUGUACGCAUAUCCUAAGUGAGGUAUUGUAUAAUUAUCGCCCGCGUGUAAGAUAUGUAAUGAGCAGUCCUUCUCCGUGCGCAAUUCGAUUUGUUUUCUUAAGUGAUCUUGGUCAUUUAAAUUAUUUGCCAUCCUUGUGCAAUUUUGGAUUUGUUUUUGCGACCAUCUUCGCUUUUCUUAUGAGUUUUACAAAAUAUAUCCCCAGAGUUAAAAAUGUCUCGUCCUUGGACUCGCUCCAUGCCUACUCCGCCAGAGGAAGAUUAUGACACUCAACCAGGCAACAAUUUCACACAAGGGCAGUCGAGUCAACAGAACAGUGAAACGGCACUUUCCCAAAUGUGCCGCCUUUAUGAAUAGAGUCAGCAACAACAUCGUGAAAUGAUGAACCAAGUCAUCAACAUGGGGAAUCACCAUGGACAGUAUCAGCAGCAAUCCAAGUUAUCUGAGCUUCAGAAGACACGUCCCCAAACAUUUUCUCACACUGACAAACCUCUUGAAGCCGAGGACUGGCUUCGAGAUAUGGAGAGGAAAUUAAUUAUUGCAAAAUGUUCAGACCCCGAAAAGGUAUUGUAUGCUCCGCACUAUCUCACAGGAGCAGCCGCAUCAUGGUGGGAGAAUUUUCUGCACAUGCAUCCCAACGAAAAUGACAUAACCUGGGAUGAUUUCAAGGAAGGUUUCCGUGGUGCACACAUUCCUAAGAGUAUUAUGAAAAUCAAGAAGAGAGAGUUCGAUGACCUCAAACAAAGGAACAUGACAGUGUCAGAUUACAACAGUCAAUUUACUCUAUUGUCCCGCUACGCCAAUGAAGAGCGUAUGACUGAAAUCAAGAAGAUGGAGAAAUUCCUUGACGGUAUGGCGCCCGCGCUUAAAUGCCAACUGGUCGUGCACACUUUUCCUGAUUUUAAAACACUGGUGGACAAAGCCAUUACUCUGGAAAAUGAGAGACGCAGUCUGGAAGAUAUCCGCAAGCGAAAAAGGGACCAGACUAACCAUGCUCGCAAUCACCGAAGCAAGACAGAUUUUCAAAAGGGCGGGACGCACAAAUCCUCAUCCAAUGUCUCACGCCCAAUCAAGAAUUUUCAUGCAAGGGACAAGGAGUUCACAUAUCGCCCCGGCGUUACUUGUUACGCCUGUGGAGAGGAAGGACACUAGGCCAAGCAGUGUCCCAAGCCUAGGAACUCAACCCCAAAGCCGAACAACGGCGGCAAUAAUUCAGCGCCCAAGCGAAACAAUUUCAAUCCCAACAAUAACCACAAGAAGGGUCAUCUGAACCACGUAACCAAGGAAGAAGCACAAAAUGCUCCGGAUAUCGUACUCGAUAUGUUUCCUGUCAACACAAUACCUGCAAUGGGUUUGUUUGAUUCUGGAGCUUCUCACUCUUUCAUUUCGAAAAGUUUUGCUUUGCAAAAUAAUUUUUCGAUGCUUCCUUUGGAGAAAUCCAUAAUCAUCAAGUCCCCUGGGAUUCAGCAAGUUACUCAGAAUUACUAUCAGAAUGUGGUCAUUGAAUUCGAAGGAUUGGAGUUUCACGCAAAUCUUAUUGUGUUGGAAAAUAAAGGACUGGAUGUCAUCCUAGGGAUGGACUGGCUAACCACCAACAAGGGUUUUAUCGACUGUUUCAACAGGACCGUAAUUCUCACACACCACCAAGGGAAGACAAUAAGAGUAUCAGCCAAGGAAGUAAAAAUACCCCGGCAACCGAGAUUAAAUAAGGUGGACAUUUCUGAGCUAAACAAGGUUCCAGUAGUGUGUGAAUUUCCAGAUGUAUUCCCUGAAGAGCUACCAGGCAUGCCACCAGACCGAGAGAUAGAAUUCAGCAUUGAGCUCGCACCAGGAACCACCCCCAUAUACAAGAAACCGUACCGAAUGGCACCAUCUGAAUUAGUUGAGUUGAAGAAACAAAUAAAGGAAUUGCUAGACAAAGGAUACAUUCGAGCCAUCUCCUCACCUUGGGGAUCACCAAUUUUAUUUGCCAAAAAGAAGGAUGGAACACUGAGAUUGUGUAUUGACUAUCGAGCACUUAACAUGGUCACAGUCAAGAACAAAUACCCGAUGCCUAGGAUAAACAAUUUGUUUGAUCAACUCGCUCAGGCCAAGGUAUUCUCAAAAAUUGACUUAAGGUCAGGAUACCAUCAAUUGAAGGUACGAACGGAAGAUAUCCCCAAAACAGCCUUCACCUCCAGAUAUGGACUGUACGAGUUCACAGUGAUGCCAUUUGGAUUAACUAACGCCCCAGCAUAUUUUGUUCACCUCAUGAACAAAGUAUUUAUGAAGUUUAUGGACAAGUUUGUCGUGGUAUUCAUCGACGAUAUUCUGGUAUACUCCAAGACACCAGAAGAGCACGCAGAACAUCUCAGGAUUGUGCUAGGAGAGCUCAAAAAACACCAAUUGUAUGCCAAGUUCAGCAAGUGCGAAUUUUGGCUAAGACAAGUAGGCUUUCUAGGCCACGUACUGACCCAAGACGGUAUCGCAGUGGACCCAGAGAAAGUCAAGGCCAUACUUGGCUGGAAGUCACCAGCCAGCGUAACAGACAUACGGAGUUUCUUGGGAAUGGCAGGAUAUUACCGCAGAUUUAUUGAAGGAUUCUCCACCAUAGCCAAGCCUAUGACGCAGUUACUCAAGAAAGAUAAGAAGUUUGAAUGGACAGAAGCCUGUGAGAAAAGUUUCCAAGAACUAAAGCGGAAAUUAACGACAACACCGGUAUUAAUUGUACCCGACAUACACAAGAAUUUUGAAGUAUAUUGUGACGCGUCCAGAAAGGGUCUCGGAUGCGUGUUGAUGCAGGAAGGCAAGGUUGUCGCCUAUGCUUCAAGGCAACUUCGCAAGCAUGAGGAAAAUUAUCCCACUCAUGACUUAGAAAUGGCAGCAGUUAUUCAUGCACUCAAGGAAUGGAGGCAUUUCUUACUUGGGAAUCGAUGUGAAAUAUAUACGGAUCACAAAAGUCUCAAAUAUAUUUUCACGCAGCCAGAACUAAAUAUACGGCAACGACGCUGGUUGGAAUUGGUAAAGGAUUAUGAUGUUGGUAUCCAUUACCAUCCAGGAAAAGCAAAUGUAGUGGCCGAUGCUCUUAGUCGGAACCCCAGCUCCGACGAAAACAAUCUGCACAGCUUGAGGCCCGAAUUCCAACAAGAAUUUGCCAAGCUCAACUUGAUAAUGGUAGCAGAAGGCACCAUAUCAAACUUGGAAAUACAACCCGGCCUUGUGGGGAAAAUUAAAGGAGCUCAGCCCGGUCACACCAGCAUCGAAGGCAUCAAAAGAAAGUUGAGUAUGGGCAAGGCCUCGGAAUUCGUCAUAGACAAUGAAGGAAUAUUAUGGUACGGAGAAAGGCUCUGCGUGCCAAACAUAGAAGACCUUAAACAGCAAAUUUUAGCUGAAGCCCACACCGCCCCGUACUCGAUCCACCCUGGAGGAACCAAAAUGUAUAAAGAUAUUCAGGAAAGAUUUUGGUGGCACGGUAUGAAGAGGGACAUAGCCACCUUCAUUGCAUGUUGCGACUCAUGUCAACGCAUAAAAGCUGAGCAUCAGAGACCAGCCGGACUACUGCAACCGAACAAAAUACCUGAGUGGAAAUGGGAUGAAAUAGGGAUGGAUUUCAUUGUCGGACUACCUCGGUCACGACACGGGAGUGAUGCCAUAUGGGUCAUCACUGACAGGUUAACCAAAGUGGCACACUUUAUUCCAAUAAAGACGACCCACACCACUCAGAGGCUUGCCAGGAUUUAUCUUUCCCGCAUAGUUUGUCUGCACGGUGUCCCGAAGACUAUAAUAUCCGACAGAGGCACUCAGUUCGUCUCAAGAUUUUGGGAGCAUUUACAACAGGCUCUGGGAACCCAACUAGCCUUCAAUACCGCAUACCACCCACAGACUGAUGGACAAACAGAACGCGUAAACCAGGUUUUAGAAGACAUGCUGAGAGCAUGUGUCCUCACAUAUGGAACCAGGUUGGAAGAAAGCCUGCCAUACGCCGAGUUCGCGUACAACAAUAGCUACCAGGCCAGCCUACAAAUGGCACCAUUUGAGGCUUUAUACGGACGAAGAUGUCGUACCCCGUUAAAUUGGUCAGAGACCGGAUACAGCCGCAUCUUCAGACCAGACAUGCUCAGAGAAGCCGAGGAAAAGGUCAAGCUAAUCAGGGACCGACUUAAGACCGCUCAAAGUCGACAGAAGAGUUAUUAUGAUCAGAAACAUCGUAGGGUCAGCUUCGAACCCGGUGAGUUCGUAUACCUGAGAGUAUCCCCUAUGAGAGGAUUGCAACGAUUCAAGAUUAAAGGGAAGCUAGCACCAAGAUUCAUCGGACCUUUCUGUAUAAGGGCACGAAGAGGCACGGUAGCCUACCAGCUAGACUUACCCGAGGAAUUAUCCGAUGUCCACGACGUGUUCCAUGUCUCGCAAUUGAGGAAGUGCGUAAGCAACCCAGAGAAACAAGUAUCCCAUGAAAACAUUGACGUGCAGCCAGACCUUACUUAUCGGGAACAUCCCGUAAGAAUAUUAGAGGAGUCUGAAAGGAGGACCCGACAGAAGACCAUCAAGUUUUUCAAAGUCCAGUGGAGCAAUCACACCGACAGUGAAGCAACUUGGGAAAGAGAGGAUUUUCUUCGGACAGAGCAUCCACACUUAUUUAAGGAUCAGCUGAAAUCUCGGGGACGAGAUUUUUCCUAAGGGGGUAGGUGUUGUGACACUCCAAAAUUUUAAUUUGGUUUUCAUCAAAAACUUUGUUGGAUUUUUAAAAGAGGGCAUUUAAAAUUUCUUUUCCAGAAAUCCUUCCUCUUAAAAACUUCCUUUCCUUUGGCAAGGAUUUUCUUUUCCCUUUCAAAUUUGGUGUUGAAUUUUUGGAAGCUUUUCCUUCUGGUUGUUACCCUCUCAAACUUAUUUAUUUUCAUUUAAAAAAAAGAAACCCUAGGAGUUUUGGGACUUCUUUCUUUUUGAAACCACCCAUGGUUUUACCAUGUCUCCUAUAGUAAAUCUUCUCAAAACCCCUCCCUCCACCUUUGAGCAAUUUAAAUCCUCUGUCUCAACAAGUCCAAACAAGUUUUGGAUUUUAUUUCAAUUAUUUUAUCUCCCAAAACAUUUCUGCCAAUUAUUUUGAGCCUAAGUGAUUUUCAAAGCAAGUACCACUUUGCCUUCGAGUUUUUAUCCCAAACCAACUUCCCUGGAUUGUCUUUAGUACCCACAACCUAGAACCAUAUUGAUCCACUCUUCUUCUUUUCAAAUAUUUCAAAUUUCACUCACUGCAAGUUUGGACCAGAUUUGCCAAAUUUGAUGAAAUUCAUAUCCACACUUCUCCAAAAAUUCCACCAAAAAUCAUGCAGCCUACUGGAGCAAUGAGUAGCCACUCCGCCAAAUUUCAGCUCAAGGAAAAAUCCCUAGAUGCCAAAAGCAUUCUGUCGAACACCUGAGCUGCACUGUUCUUUGCAUUUUCAGUAAAGUUCAGUAAAAUUCAGUUUUACAGUGUCGUUUUCUUCAGAGUUCAGUCACAAGCUCACAGUGCGCUUGGCUCGAUGCUCGCAGCCCCUCCCUCUUGUCCGGAGCUUCACACGCGUGCAUGGAGCCUUCCUGGCGUCGGUGGCAUGCUGGCCCGCCCUCGCCGGCGUCUUCUGCGGCGUCGAGACCUCCCGUGGCGGCCGACAGAAGGCACACCACGGCAGAACGCCGUUCAGCGCCGCCCAAAGCCCCCUGGCUCUCCGCAUGGCCUCAUGCAUGCCAGCGCACGCCCGUGGCACCAUCACCGUGGCCCGGCAAGCACGGAACGUGCUCCCUGCCGCCGACGGGCCGCGCUACCCCCGUUCCGUCGAGCUCGACCCAAACACCCAAACCCCGGCCAGUUUAGCACCUAAACGGACCCAUUGAACCCCCACGAUGGCGCUCGACCCCUAAUCCUCCCCGACCAAUGCCCUGCGCUGCCGUAAGCUUCGCUGGAGAACCCCGUUCUCGGCCACCGCCUCGAAUCGCCUAUAAAAAGGAACCCGAGCUCACCCUCGAGCAUGCACCUUCACUGCACCUCCCCAGGACCCUGCCAAGCCACCAGGAGGACCUUGAGGAGGUCUCCUUCCCCAACUCCGGCCGCCUUGCUCCGCCUCGGCCUCCAGCUUGAUUCACUCCGGUGAGGCCAUCUCCGGCGCCCAAACCUCGUCCGUAGCCCUCUCUCACACCCAGUACUCUAACCCCCUCAUCAAUUUGGCCUUUGCAGUCCUCUCCGACGAGCUCCAUCCACGCCCGAACCACCGUCCACCAGAGUUGAGACCGUCGUCGACGUGGUGCUCCCCGGCGACCAACACCACCACCCACCAUUGCGGAAGGACACGGUGAGCGCGUUGGUAACCUCCGAUCCCCUUACCUCGCCAUGGAUCGCCGCCGGCGACCACCGCAGCCCUCGGGCGCCGAUGAGCCUCGUCCCUCCCAUUUGAAAGUUUAAACAUGACAAGUGGGACCCGCUGUCAGCCUCUCUGUCCUUUCUAAACGAAGCGUUUUCUGAAAACGCCUGCUGCCAAAUGCGCUUUCCCUUUGGGCUGGCGUAGUUUCUGCCGAAGCGUUUUCUGUUUUUAUAAACUAGCCCCUGGAAACUUUCUGUUUCAUUACAGAUGAGUCCCUGGAUUAAAACCCUUAUAACUUUUUAACAGAAAGGAAUUUUUGAGUGAUUCUUUUUCUGUCCUCUUCAGAAUUUUGUAUAGUUUUUUAUCAUAUUUAUUUGAAAAAUAUUUGGUAUAAAUUUCUUUGCACCUCUUGGUAUUUACGAUAGCGCAUGUAUUUCUUUAUACCGUAGAUACUGAAGGAGGUAACGGAGCCGCGAACUUCACCGAGCUAGGCUCGGACUACUCCAAACCAGGCAAGCAUGUUUGAACUUUUGAUAUGAUGAGUGUCUUGGCAUGUCUUGCAUUUAGUUAGUUUCAUGGCAUGUUGAUGAGCAUACCGAUGAACGUUAUUUCUAUGAAAUGUUGAGGUAAGUGAGUUCGAUGAUCCAUAAGUGGAUGGAUGUGAGUAUGCAUGGCCAUGUGUUGGCAUGAGGAUGGGUAAGAUGGCAGUGUUGUAGCAUGCCAGGCUUAUGCCAGACUACGUGACUUCAAUGUCAACUCGUAUCAUUCCAGUUCUUUCCUUCUUCCUUCCCUGUACUACCACAAGUUUUCCGCAAGGGAUAUGGCUUAGUAAGUUGUAAACCGCUUCCCUGGUACACACCAAAAAGGAGAGGCCGUGAUGAUGGUUCCAUGGCCCUGGAUUAAAGCCAGUCAUCCGGUCAGGGGGCAUGGGUGUUUCCGGUUGGGACCGAGAGGGGGGCACCCCUUAGAGCGCGCGUAUAUAAAUUUGAUCCCAUGCUAUUCGAGAUUGUGAUCUCCCCGUCUCAAAAGUUUUUCUUGGACGAUGUCUAGGGUGAGUCCUGGCAUCGAGAGGUAGGAUGGGCGUGUACUGGUUAGCUGUGUUUUCUUCCGAAAAACCGUAAACGGAACUAGUCCCUCGUGACUACGGAAAUCCGUUGGCUGUGGGAAUUUUUUUUGUACAAACUCUGCAGAGUCAUACAAUUCCUUUGAAUCAUCUAUUCCAUGUCCCGAUUCGUACUAUCUUGUCCUAACAGUGUCAGUUUGAUGGCAGAGACUCCGGUGAAUCCCAUGAGUGCUAAGUCCGGUUAAAUGUUAUUCCUGUGGGUGGACUAACCUGUUUAUUAUCAUGAAUUGAAUAUUUAUUAUGAGUAUUAUUUACUUGUGAAUAAAGCCCUUUCUGUGAUGUCGCCCCGACGUCCGACUGUGGCAUUUCUUUUAAAGCCCUUUCUGUGAUGUCGCCCCGACGUCCGACUGUGGCAUUUCUUUUAAAGCCCUUUCCGUGAUGUCGCCCCGACGUCUGACUGUGGCAUUUCUUUUAAAGCCCUUUCUGUGAUGUCGCCCCGACGUCCGACUGUGGCAUUUCUUUUAAAGCCCUCUCUGUGAUGUCGCCCCGACGUCCGACUGUGGCAUUUCUUUUAAAGCCCUUUCUGUGAUGUCGCCCCGACGUCCGACUGUGGCAUUUCUUUUAAAGCCCUUUAUGUGGUGUCGCUAAGACGCCCGACUGUGGCAUGAUUUUCUCCUUUAUUUAUUUGUUCACCUUUCGAGGCGUCGCUUCAGACACCCGAUCGGUUUCCAUUUAUAUUUCUGUCGGGAUUUCAGGUGGACUACCGCCGAUUCCCUCUUUGCUUACCUUGCCUGCUAAUACUUUAAAUGUACAUUGGUAAAUUAAUCAUGACGCAUUCAUGCGUGCAUUUGUUAUAUCUUACGUCCGAACUGUCUUGCGAGUACUUUCAAAGUACUCACUGGCUUGUUGAUUUGGCCAGAUGCUGACGAAGGCGAUCUCAUGGGUGAAGAGUUCGAUAGCGAGUCCGACGUCUAGAGGAAUCCCAGUCAGUCUCGUGCGACCCUGGAUUUGGUCACUGUAUUAUAUCCGCUUCCGCAACCCGAAUAAAUUUAUCGAGCCUCACCUCGACGCUCGAUGAGAUGCCAGUUUGAGAGUCGUGUUAUCACACUCCCCACUGUGUUAUUCCACCAUCACUUUAUCCUCGAGUCAGUAGUAUGCCACCACACCAUUGUGUUAUAUCCGCCAUUAUGUAUAAUUAUUGGCGCGCUUGUAAUAAUUUGUUGAGCAGCCCUAGCUCAACCCUGUAAUAUAUCCUAUGCUACUGGCUUAUUGUAUCAAGAAUUUGUCUACCAGUGAGGAGGAUUUCUCUCAUACUGGACUCAAAAGAUUGGUUUCUCAAUAAAUAUUUUUAUUGGAAAACCGGUCGUGACAGUAGAUGUGGAUAGCCUGCAUGCUGUUUCUUAGGACAUUAAGCUACAUAAGGAUAAACUGACAUAAGUAUGCUAGUCUGAAGGGUCGAUAAUUCACAUUUGUUUCUGAAUUUAGUUGGUUUAUCUGUCUGUGGUCCUCAAUGUAUUAAAUGACAGCCAAAAGUAUCCAUCUAUAGAGGCUUAUCUACUAGCUGUUGGACCUUGGAGGCUUAUAGUGCGAUGAAAGCCAAAUGUAUCUAACUAGCCAGUCGACAGGCUAAAACAACUAGCUAUAAAAAGACAUCAAGUUCUGGUUUACAUGCUAUUCUCGUCGUUCAUGCCGACAGACCUUUUGCUGUAGUGUUUAGAGUAGAUUGAGUCUGCUAGCCCUCCUUUUUGUUUUUGGUCUUAUUUUGGACAGAUGCUUGGGGUGCAUACUUUCUAGAAUCUGCAUUUGGAUUUGCAGUUUGCGUUGUCGAAGAAAAUUGUCAAUUGUUUGAUUGAUGUUCUGACUUUUAUGUGGACCAGUCGUCCAUUCUCUAAAUCAUUCUUUUAAUCCUGCUACCCUUUUUGUAUCCAUGUACUGUUUAUCUUGUUUAAGCAUUAAUGUAUACUUUUCUUUUAGCAAUGGCAACACAAGCAGGAACCUUGGCUACUUCUCGUUUAAGUCCCCAAGUGGUAGGGUUCUCUGUUCACGGGAGUCACCAUCUAGGCAUGCUUGAUGCUUCACCAGAAUGAUGUAUUGUUCUUUAGCUGUCGAUUGUCUGUGUAGAUUGAAUGUAUCGAGUUGAGGGCUUGAGGCAGGCUGUAGGUGAUUAGAACAACCACCUGUUAAGUAAGAUCGGCUGUAGUGUAUGCUCUGAACAUAAGCUUGUGUUGCUGCCAGUGUACUGUAUGCUCUGAACACAAGAUCCUUUACUUGCUCUGGUUUGGUUAAGACUGAUCAUGCCAUGGAUAAGAAAACAAUUUAAAAGGUCUAUUGAAACAAGGUGGAAGCAUGUUCUUUCUUGCAACGUACCCUAAACCCCUAAACCCUUUUUAUUUGAACUUGUUAGUUAUGUUCUGGAGUCUGGAAUUUUUGAAUCAAUAUCUAUCUGAUUAAUGCAUGCCUUCUUUUGUUUUUAAGUUUGUUACAAAACAUAUAUGUGGUGCAUCUGAUUAGUUAUGUUGUAAAAGAAUGCUUGUCUCUGACACUGUUAUUCUUAUGUUGAUAUAUGUGCCCAGUUUUGUGUGUUUUGAAUCAAUAUCUAUCUGAUUAAUUACUGACCAUGGUGAGCUAGAUCCCAACAAACAAGACACUUACAUUAACUUGGCACUUUGAGUCCUUAUAAUUCUGAUAGUGUGGAACUAUAUUUUGUACACAUAGUCAACUAGUUUUCGUUUUAUAUUUCCUUGCUUAUCUGGAACUAUAUCUUCUCAUUUUUCUAAUUAUGACAUGGAUGAUAUGAAAUAUCAGAAUUGUUUCCAUUACAUGGUGUGCUGCAGGAAAGCCCCUGUGUAGGUUUAUUGUCUCGUAAUUGGGCAAUUAUUUUCUUGCAGGGGGCCACCCGUUCUAGCUCGCUUUGACCCUCUUUUGCUAUGUAGUGGUCCUGGUACAUGAAAAGCAGGUCCUUUUAAAUGUUUUGCUUCCUUGGUUGCAUUCUGCUGUACACUCAAAAAUAUUUUCAAUUUAGUGACAAGCAAACAAUAAAAUAGUCAAAAGGCUUUUAUUUAAUGUGCUUUUUGAAAAUGAAAAUGUGCUGUGAUGUUCUCCUCUUUCUGUUGACAUGUAUGUUGAGUAAUAUCAAGCCAUAAUUAUAGUCACUCCAAGACAUGCUCAAAUGUAGUCGCACGUACAGAUUUGUGCGGCUGAGGUACAGUUUUAAGAUGAGAUACCUAUAUAUAGAACAUGAAAGUAUUACUGUUUGUUAGGACAUGAUGACUGUUUGUUUACUACUUUAUGAUUUUGUGUAGAGUUGCGUCCUUCUUGUCCCCUUUUAUCCAAGGCCAUCUUGUUGUGUCAAUGGCUGUGUUGCCGUUUCAAGUUUUGUGUAUGUGCAUAUGUACAUAGCAGUAAACUAGACUGUUGUGAUCGUAUAUUACCUCCGUCCCUUCUUAGAUUUAUCUAGAUACGGAUGUAUCUAACACUAAAAUGUGUCUAUACAUCCGUAUCUAGACAAAUCUAAGACAAAAAUUUUGGGAUGGAGGCAAGGUUUGCUGGAAACUGAACUCUCUGAUAUGUUUGGUUGAUGCAGUUCCUUCCAUUAAUUUAUUUGUUUCUUCAAUUUGGAUGCAACAGGUUCCCUUCAUGAAUGAGGACAUGGGCAUGUACCACAGACGGUGAGCUCAUCCACCACUACCACCUCGACUCCGCGCGCAAGGUCAAUUCCUCUCUCUCGUCUGUGAGGUUUUUUUUCAAGUUUUUUCUUCUCCGUUGUAGCCUGCUAGUUUCUAUUCUGGUCCUGAAACCAAACUAGGUAGGAUGGCCUUGUGACCUCCUGAAUGUCGAGGCUUUGGUUGUCAUAUCGUGUUUGGUUGAUCCUGUAUGAUGUGUACUCGCUUGAUGGUCACCUAUUAGCUAAGGUUCUCAUAUCAUGUUUGGUACUCAUAUGUGCUUGCUUGAUGGUUCUCAUAUCAUGUUUGGUGGAUCCUUUAUCAUGUUUGGUUCUCAUUAGCUAAGAUUGUUAUGUUUUGCUACUGAAUCGUAUUUCAUCAGUCUGCACGUGAUCAAGCUCACUCUUAUUAUUAAUUGCCAACAAUUGCUACUAGAUACACACAGUUUUUUCCAUGUUAUUAUCGAUGUUCUGCUCUAGGACGGUUUCUAGACACACGCAUUGUGUGUGCUCCUCUUCACACUAGACUCUUUAGUUUCUAUCUCAUGUUCAUAGCGUUCUAGUUUGUCGACGACAUAGUAUCCCCUGUGAUCUCUUAGUGAAAUGACAGGUUUGAUUGAUGUUGUAUAGGAUUGGCUAGUUUUGCUUAAUGCCAUAUGUCUUAUGCAAUCACAUUAGAUUUCUGUUUGUUAUGGUAUAAAAAAUAAUCGUGCUGUCAAAAUUUUCACACUGCGUGCCUUUUAUUUCUUUAGUUUGAUUGUUUCCCUUGUAUUCAAUAUGCUUCUAAUGCCUGAUCCUUUCAUUUUUGUUGUGGCAUCUUUAUUUUCAUAGGUGUUGUGUGUCCUGGAAGAUGGAAGCGGAAGAAAACUUAUUUUUGUUGAACUAAACUUUCUGUAUCAUGUUUUGUUGUACGUAUCAUUUGAUGGUUUUGUAUAGGAACAAGUGAUACUAUUUUGAAGGGCUUUAUGGCCUGUGAUGUAAACAUAUUUAGUGCUGAAAUAUGAAAUUAUUUGCAAAAUUUGUCAAAAAGGAGGAUCAUUUGUAUGAAUAUGUGAAUGGUCUGAAAAGAGUAUUGGACCAACUCCUGGAUUGAAUUAUUAUUUGAAUGUAUAAAAUGGCCGAAUGUAAACCAGAAAUGGGCUGCAAAAAAUUGUACCUAUACUCUUGAAAGGACAAAUGUGCAUAAAAAUUGACAGGCUGGCCAGUUGGGCUUGGCCCAUGUAGCUGAAAAAAAUUAACAGAAAUAAAUAUACUAAAUGGGCUGAACUGUUGGGCUCGACCCAUAUAGACACCGAAAUGGACCGGGCUGAAUCUAUUUUUUGACAUUUUCAAUUGGUCGUAAUAUUGCCACGUCAGCUUGCCACGUCAGAUCCGACGUGGCUUGGGCAGACAGCUAGUGACCAAAACAAAACAGUAGGCAUAUUUUGGUCGUAAACAUCUACGACCUUCUCACAGAGAAGGUCGUUAAUUUCAGUUUAUGACCGCCAGCUUUUGACCUUCUGCUUUUGGUCACAAAAAGGUUGCAAAUGAAAAAUAAUGACCUUUGAGUGACCAAUAGUCAAUGUCACAAGUUGACAUAUUUCUUGUGGUGGAUGCCUAGAUAAUUCGUGCAGUAGGAGAUGCACUCUUCGGUCAGAAAAGCCCUGGCUAUGCUUCUCUCUGGACGUGACAUGUUGCGAAUGUAUCCUUUGAUGACACCAUUCAUCCUUUCGAACGACAUCAUGCUGUGCAGGAACAUCGACCCGAGUUGGAUGAUAUCCUCCACGAUAUGGACCAGCAGAUGCACCAAAACGUCAAAGAAUGCGGGCGGGAAGUACAUCUCAAGCUCGCAUAGUAUCACCAUGAUCUCUUCCUGUAGCCUUCUGAGUUGCCUCACGCCAACCGACUUCCGAGAGAUGACAUCGAAAAAGUUGCAUAGGCCAAAUAGCGUAUCAUGGACGUGCGCGUCCAUGAUCUCACGGAUUGCAACUGGAAGUAUCUGUGUCAUCAGCACGUGACAGUCGUGAGACUUCAUCCCGCUGAACUUCUGCUUCGCUGAGUCUAGGUAUCUGCUUAUCUUCCCCGCGUAACCGUAAGGAAGUUUUACUCCUACGAGGCAGAUGAAAAACUGCUCGAUCUCCUCCUGACUUAGAGUGAAGCACGCGGGAGGGCAGUCAUUUCCGAUCUUCUUGGCCUUUUUGCCUUUGCGACGACUUUCCGUGUUCGUCGCCUCAUCGUCAUCAUCAUCAUUAGCGUGAAGCUCCUCCCUGAUGCCCAUUGAUUUCAAGUCUGCCCUUGCUUUCGGCCCAUCUUUGGUCCUCUCUGGCAUGUUGAGCAGGGUACCAAGCAGACUCUCGCACACGUUCUUCAUGAUAUGCAUGACAUCAAGGCUGUGAGGCACACGGUGGAUCUUCCAGUACGGCAAGUCCCAGAAAAUAGACCUCGUUUUCCAUACCUUCAGCAGCGGCUCUGGCGCCUUUUGCUUCUUUCCCGGCUCUGAGCACUCUUUCUAAUUUUUCAACAGCUCGUCUAUUUCCUCGCCGCUCCUCGUACGCGGGCGUCUUCGGGGUUCGGUUUCACCAUCGAACAGAUCCUUGUGUUUUCUUCAUGAGUCAUCGUCGCGAAGCCACCUUCGAUGUCCCAUGAACAUGGUUUUCGAAGACCCAGGACCUCUAUCUAGCUGGAGAUACGUUGUGUCAUCCAUGCACCUGACGCAUGCACGAAAUCCGUGGACCACCUGCCCCGCGACAUAUCCAUAACCGAGAUAGUCUUGCACUGUCAUGAGCAGUGCGACUCUCAUAGGGAAAUAUUCUUUCUCUGCAGCGUCCCAUGUAUUGGCUGGCGUUUUCCACAGCGUGUCUAGCUCCUCUUUCAGCAGUCCCAGAUACAGAUUGAUGUCAUUCCCUGGUUGUUUUGGCCCUUCAAUUAGUAUACUCAUGUGAAUGUACUUCCUCUUCAUGCACUUCCAGGGGGAAAGGUUGUACAUCCACACAAACACAAGCCAGGUGCUACGUGUGCUUCUCUAGCUGCCAAACGGAUUGACUCCAUCGGUGCUCGCGCCCAGCCCGAUAUUCCUUGGAUCAUCCCCAAAUUCUGGGUAUUCAAAGUUCAAUGCUUGCGACUAGCUCGCAUCCUUAGGGUGACUCAGCAUCUUGUCUUUUUUAUUUAUCUCCAGAUCAUUUCCGUCAUCUUCACGCUUCUUCUCCUCCCUAUCCGCGUGCCAAUGCAGGAGCUUUACUUCCUUAGGGUCCGCGAAAUACCGCUACAGACAAGGAGUGAUCGGAAAGUACCACACCACUUUUCGAGGAGCUUUCUUCCUCUUCUUGUAUCGAGUGAUGCCGCACACCGGACAUAUGGUAGACUCCACGUGCUCGUCCCGAUAAAUGAUGCAAUCAUUCAUGCACACAUGGUAUGUCACGUGCGGUAAAUCCAGAGGACACACGAUUUUCUUCACCUCCUCGAAACUGGUCGGGCACUUGUUCCCCUUGGGAAGACGUUCGUGCCAGAAUGACAUGUUCUCGUCGAAGCAUGCAUCGGUCAUUUUGUGUUUUACCUUAAUUCUUAGAGCCAUGAGCGUUACUUUGAGGCGGGUAUCCUCUGGCCUGCAUCCUUCAUACAAUGGAGUAACCGCGUCUAUCUCCAGUUGAUCCAGCUUGGCUUUCUCUCGGGCGGCAGCUCUUGCGUUAUCUGUCUUCUUGAGAAGCAGCUCUUGAAUAUGAGGGUCCUGCACCCAGCCCAUCGAUGGUCCAUCGUCGUCUGCUCUGGCAUCUUCAUCUUCAUGAUCAUGCCCUUCGUCUUGAUCUUCCUCAUCAUCAUGUCCGGCAUCUUCUACAUGAUGACUGUGUACUGCAUCAUCGUGGUGAUCAUGUCCUGGAGAUUCUUCGUCUUCUCGCCCUCCCUCGCCGCGCUGGCUGUCUUGCUGUCCUUCCUCAUUUCUUGCCUGGCCCCCAUGGACGACUUGAUAGUCAUCUUCAUCACCUUGCCACCGAUAGCCAUCCCUGAAACCACGCAAGAGCAGGUGGUCCCGCACUUGUCCGGAAUCUGGGUCUGUAAUAAGGCUCUUCAGCUUGCAUCUUCGACACGGACAUCUUAUCUCCAUCUCAUUCUUUUGAAGCAUCUCGGCCUUCGAGGAGCUGAAAAACCUAUUCACGAUGCCUUCGGUCAUCGUGCGGACCAUGGUCGCCUGCGGGGUAGAGCAAAACGAUAUUUUAGAACCAAGAAAAAAUUUGGCAUGACUUUGCCUAAAAAUAGGACCAAAAAGAAUGCAUAAUGCCAAAUUCUCGUCGAAACGGAAAUGAAUCAACAUUCCGGCAAAAUAUUGGCAACUACCUCAUUUCAAAUACCGGUACCUGCAAACACAAACAUAUGCAACACCACAAACAUAUGCAACACCACAAACAUACGUAGAUCUAGGCCAUAAAAAGUGCAUGUGCACAUUGUUGGAGGGAUAAAAAAGUAGAUCUACAACAUAAAGAAAGCUUUCCCCUUACUUACCUAUCAAAAAAAGGUAAUUUAACCACUUAAUUUGGGUGAAUCUAUGGUGCCAAUGAGGUGAGGAGGAGGAGGCAGCCGAGACAAGCUUGGAGGAGGAGGUGGAGAGAAUGAAGUGGGGAAAGUGAGUGUGGUAGGUGGCUGUCCAAAAUAUCUAGCUGCUCUCAGGUUACCAAUGGCGCACCACCUAAUAAUGUGCCAUUAGUUACCCUGGUUACUAACGGCACACCUCUUACGUGGUGCGCCAUUACUAGUUUUGCAAAAAAAAAAAUUGUUAGUAGUGGCGCACCGUGGUUGUGGUGCGCCAUUACUAGUUUGAACUAGUAAUGGCGCACUUUACCCUGGUGCGCCAUUACUAGUUUUGAAAAAAAAA